UACGAAGGGUGCAAGCGUUAAUCGGAAUUACUGGGCGUAAAGCGUGCGUAGACGGUUAUCUAAGUCGGGUGUGAAAGCCCCGGGCUCAACCUGGGAAUUGCAUUCGAGACUGAAUAGCUAGGGUACGGUAGAGGGAAGUGGAAUUUCCGGUGUAGCGGUGAAGUGCGUAGAUAUCAGGAGGAACACCAAUAGCGAAGGCAGCUCGCUGGGACGGUAUUGACGCUAAGGCGCGAAAAGCGUGGGGAGCAAACAGG
rnacentral:rRNA from 1 species